CCUACGGGAGGCAGCAGUGGGGAAUAUUGCACAAUGGGGGGAACCCUGAUGCAGCGACGCCGCGUGGGUGAGGAAGUAUUUCGGUAUGUAAAGCCCUAUCAGCAGGGAAGAAAAUGACGGUACCUGACUAAGAAGCCCCGGCUAACUACGUGCCAGCAGCCGCGGUAAUACGUAGGGGGCAAGCGUUAUCCGGAUUUACUGGGUGUAAAGGGAGCGUAGACGGCAUAACAAGUCUGAUGUGAAAGGCCGGGGCUUAACCCCGGGACUGCAUUGGAAACUGGGAUGCUAGAGUGCAGGAGAGGCAAGGGGAAUUCCUAGUGUAGCGGUGAAAUGCGUAGAUAUUAGGAGGAACACCAGUGGCGAAGGCGGCUUGCUGGACGGUAACUGACGUUGAGGCUCGAAAGCGUGGGGAGCAAACAGGAUUAGAUACCCCUGUAGUC
rnacentral:rRNA from 1 species